GACGAACGCUGGCGGCGUGCUUAACACAUGCAAGUCGAACGGAAAGGCCCUGCUUUUGUGGGGUUCCCGAGUGGCGAACGGGUGAGUAACACGUGAGUAACCUGCCCUUGACUUUGGGAUAACUUCAGGAAACUGGGGCUAAUACCGGAUAGGAGCUCCUGCUGCAUGGUGGGGGUUGGAAAGUUUCGGCGGUUGGGGAUGGACUCGCGGCUUAUGAGCUUGUUGGUGGGGGAGUGGCUUACCAAGGCUUUGACGGAUAGCCGGCCUGGGAGCGUGACCGGGGACAAUAGGCCUAAGGGAGGGAGCAGUCGGGUACGUGAGGCAAUGGGCGGAAGUAUUACGCAGUGGGCCGGAGCGUGUGACGAAGGCGCCGGGUGCGGAAUGCCGGCUUUCGGGUUAAGAACCGCUGUCGCAUGAGACGCGGCGGGAUUGACGGUACUGAGUAAAGAAGCACCGGCUAACUACGUG
rnacentral:rRNA from 1 species